AACGAACGCUGGCGGCAGGCUUAACACAUGCAAGUCGAACGGUAAGGCCCUUCGGGGUACACGAGUGGCGAACGGGUGAGUAACACGUGGGUGAUCUGCCCUGCACUUCGGGAUAAGCCUGGGAAACUGAGUCUAAUACCGGAUAGGACUCCUGGCUUCAUGGUUGGGGGUGGAAAGCUUUUGCGGUGUGGGAUGGGCCCGCGGCCUAUCAGCUUGUUGGUGGGGUAAUGGCCUACCAGGGCGACGACGGGUAGCCGGCCUGAGAGGGUGACCGGCCACAUUGGGACUGGGAUACGGCCCAGACUCCUACGGGAGGCAGCAGUGGGGAAUAUUGCACAAUGGGCGCAAGCCUGAUGCAGUGACGCCGCGUGAGGGAUGACGGCCUUCGGGUUGUAAACCUCUUUCAGCACCGACGAAGCGCAAGUGACGGUAGGUGCAGAAGAAGGACCGGCCAACUACGUGCCAGCAGCCGCCGCAG
rnacentral:rRNA from 1 species